rnacentral:tRNA from 1 species
CUUCUUAGCUCAGUCGGUAUAGCUUCAGACUUUUACUCUGAAGAUCGUGGGUUCGAGUACCACAAAAG